rnacentral:tRNA from 1 species
GAAAAAGUAUGCAAGAACUGCUAAUUCACGCUUCCAUGAUUAACAACAUGGCUUUUUCA